GAUGAACGCUGGCGGCGUGCCUAACACAUGCAAGUCGAGCGGUAUAUACUUAAACAAAUCUUCGGAAGAGUGAGAGUAUAGAGAGCGGCGGACGGGUGAGUAACGCGUAGGCAACCUGCCCCAUACAGAGGGAUAGCCUCGGGAAACCGGGAUUAAAACCUCAUAACGCGAGAGAGUCACAUGGCUUUUUCGCCAAAGAUUUAUCGGUAUGGGAUGGGCCUGCGUCUGAUUAGCUAGUUGGUGGGGUAACGGCCUACCAAGGCAACGAUCAGUAGCCGACCUGAGAGGGUAAUCGGCCACAUUGGAACUGAGACACGGUCCAAACUCCUACGGGAGGCAGCAGUGGGGAAUAUUGCACAAUGGGCGAAAGCCUGAUGCAGCAACGCCGCGUGAGCGAUGAAGGCCUUUGGGUCGUAAAGCUCUGUCCUUGGGGAAGAAUAAAUGACGGUACCCUUGGAGGAAGCCCCGGCUAACUACGUGCCAGCCGCCGCGGUAA
rnacentral:rRNA from 1 species